rnacentral:rRNA from 1 species
CUUUCUUUGCUGGCGACCGGCGCACGGGUGAGUAACACGUAUCCAACCUGCCCUUUACUCGGGGAUAGCCUUUCGAAAGAAAGAUUAAUACCCGAUAGCAUAAUGAUUCCGCAUGGUUUCAUUAUUAAAGGAUUCCGGUAAAGGAUGGGGAUGCGUUCCAUUAGGUUGUUGGUGAGGUAACGGCUCACCAAGCCUUCGAUGGAUAGGGGUUCUGAGAGGAAAGUCCCCCACAUUGGAACUGAGACACGGUCCAA